GGCUUGUGCAUGAUAUCUCUUUGCAUCUGCAGCUGGACCGCGUCUUAUGCGGAGCUUCCUGAAUGCUCAGGCCUCACAUCUUCUGAAGGGUGCACAGGAUCUGUGUAUCGGUGACACAAGGUGAUCAUCCAAACCAGAGCACUAUUGUCAUUGACAUGUUUUCCUAUCUUGAGCAACCGAACACCACUGUAUCUUUCCGAGUUGAAUACAAGCGUGAGCCUCCGAAGGUUGACACUGAUACCAUUGCAUGCAGUUCUUUUGCCACGAGAAAGGAUUCUGCCAUGGUGAGCAAUGAAUAAGCACAACUGUUUCGAGUCCCGAAACCUGUCGUUGCAGGAAUGAUCUCUAAACCAGCAGCUGAAGCACCUAGAAUCACAACAGACGCCGCAAUUUCCAAUUCGAUAACGUGUAAAAAUGAAAGCCUUAAUCCACGUCUGGAAAUGAAGGUGAUUAUUCACUAAUCCCUGCAAACGAACAACCUAAUCUGGAUGACGAAACACUGUGACUGAUACCAUAUUAUAAUUUGUAAUGUAAUACUUAUAAUUUUCAUUUUACUUUGGAAAACUUGGUUUGACAAACUUGAUUUAAGUGGCAUUCUUACAGAUUGAGAAAAAAAUUGCACUUUAUAUAUAUAUAUUAUAUAUUAUUUUAGAUUUAGAAUUAAAAUCCAUUUUUUAUAAGAUGAUUCUAUAACAUUUAUUUAAUAUUUUUAUAAGAAUUUUAAAGAUUUGAAAUUUGAUUUUACUAGUUACAAUAUCAGAUCACAGAUUUAAUAAAAAAAUAAAUAAAAAAAUAAAAAAAUAGUAGAUAUACAAUGCUUGACACACUAAUAUAAAAAUAAUUUUAAGAUUGAUACAACAAUAAAUUAUAAUAUUGAGAUUAUAUUUUUUAUUUUCUUCUGAUAUAUUGUAUGAUUGUAUAAAAUUAUAAUUGUGAUCUUUAGAAAAUAGAUGGUGUGCAUUUUUUAUAUUUUAAACUGAAAAUAAUAAUUUAAAAUAAUUUUGAUCAAUUUAAAAUAUAAUUAUUAAAAGUAUUGGGUAUAAAUUUUCAAGAAAUAAGAACUCAAAGAAUGUAAACAAAUAAACAAGAUAUACCUCUAAAAGCAUUGGCAAAAAAAAAAAAAAAAAAAAAAAAAAAAAAAAUGUACAUUUUAAAAUAAACUAAACAACUAUUGCCAAAGACAAGAAAAUCAAAGAUUCUUAAAACUAAACUAAAAGCAAAAAGUCAUUGAUAAAAGUAAAGAAGACUUUUAUUUUUUUUUACCUCUAUUUAUACUAUCUAAUUAGAGAAUUAUAUAAUGACCUCCUAUAGGCCACAUGAUACAUAUCCAAUUUACAAAUCACAUAUCUAAUUUUUAGAAUAAAUUACUAAUAUGUGCAUCAGAUGGCCAACUUAUAAUAUAAAUAGAUAAUGAGUAUAACAAGUGGCCAACUUGUUGGCUAAGUUUUCAACCUACCAACCACAUAUAAAUUCAUGUAAAAUAAAAUUUGUAUUUACAAAGCCUCUAAAAAGUUUUCAAAGAAGAUGUUAACUUAUUUUUGCUUAAGUCUAUUUAUUUCUACUUAUUUAUUUAAAUGUACUGAUAAUUAUAGAUGAUUGUGAUAUUACUCCCCUUUUAAGUAACAAGUUCCAUAAUGAGUUGUUAAUUUUUUUUAUAAGUUGAUGAAAUCUAAGAUCCCUCAAUUAUAUUGGCAACAAACUAUGAUUUAUUUUUUGCACAAUUAUAAUUAAUUGUUUCUUUUAACUAUGACAAAUAUUUUACAUUAGAGUAAGAAGAUAAUGUAGUUAUUUAAUUAUUUUUGAGGCUUUAUAACUCUCUUCAAAUAACAUAUUUUGUAUUCUAUCUUGUGUAGUAUCCACCUCCAACAAUAUCAUCAAGCAACAAAAAUCUCUUCAAAGAUUGAAGUAUGAAACAUGUUGUAUCUUGCCAUCUAUUCAAAGAAGAACAUGUCUCUUUUGAGGAUCUUCAUCACAAUUAUAACAUUCUUCAA
rnacentral:lncRNA from 1 species